AUUGAACGCUGGCGGCAGGCCUAACACAUGCAAGUCGAACGAGUGGCGGACGGGUGAGUAAUGUCUGGGAAACUGCCUGAUGGAGGGGGAUAACUACUGGAAACGGUAGCUAAUACCGCAUACCAUCAGAUGUGCCCAGAUGGGAUUGGCUUGUUGGUGGGGUAACGGCUCACCAAGGCGACGAGCCCUAGCUGGUCGGAGAGGAUGACCGGCCACACGGGAACGGGGACACGGUCCGAACUCCAACGGGAGGCGGCAGUGGGGAAUAUUGCAAAAUGGGGGCAGUCUGGAUGAGGCCAUGCCGCGGGUAGGAAGAAGGCCUUCGGGUGUUAAAGUACUUUCAGCGGGGAGGCGUUACCCGAAGAAGAAGCACCGGCUAACUCCGUGCCAGCCGCCGCGGUAAUAC
rnacentral:rRNA from 1 species